rnacentral:miRNA from 1 species
UUACAUUCUAGUGGGAAAGACU